rnacentral:rRNA from 1 species
GACGAACGCUGGCGGCGUGCCUAAUACAUGCAAGUUGAGCGAUGAAGAUUGGUGCUUGCACCAAUUUGAAGAGCAGCGAACGGGUGAGUAACGCGUGGGGAAUCUGCCUUUGAGCGGGGGACAACAUUUGGAAACGAAUGCUAAUACCGCAUAACAACUUUAAACAUAAGUUUUAAGUUUGAAAGAUGCAAUUGCAUCACUCAAAGAUGAUCCCGCGUUGUAUUAGCUAGUUGGUGAGGUAAAGGCUCACCAAGGCGAUGAUACAUAGCCGACCUGAGAGGGUGAUCGGCCACAUUGGGACUGAGACACGGCCCAAACUACUACGGGAGGGAGCAGUAGGGAAUCUUCGGCAAUGGACGAAAGUCUGACCGAGCAACGCCGCGUGAGUGACGAAGGUUUUCGGAUCGGAAAACUCUGUUGGUAGAGAAGAACGGUGGUGAGAGUGGAAAGCGCAUCAAGUGACGGUAACUACCCAGAAAGGGACGGCUAACUACGUG